UACGUAGGGACCGAGCGUUGUCCGGAAUCAUUGGGCGUAAAGAGCGUGUAGGCGGCCUUUUAAGUCCUGCGUGAAAUCCUGCGGCUCAACCGCAGACGGUCGUGGGAAACUGGAAGGCUAGAGUGCGGGAGAGGAGAGUGGAAUUCCCGGUGUAGCGGUGAAAUGCGCAGAUAUCGGGAAGAACACCCGUGGCGAAGGCGGUUCUCUGGGCCUUACCUGACGCUGAGGAGCGAAAGCGUGGGGAGCGAACAGG
rnacentral:rRNA from 1 species